GGGAGGAAUCGCCUUCCUCUGCUCGGUUUUCAACCCCGGAGAUUCGGGCUAAAGCAGCCCCAGGUGUCGCUCUCACAGGGAACUGGGGUUUAGCCUAAGGACUAAAAGGCCCAGGAGAGCCAUUAUGUUUAUUUUUAUGUAUCCUCCUCGAAAUAAUCACGCGGCGAUUUUUGUUCCCGGUCAGCUGUGACCACGUUCAAGAGGAAAUCCUCAGCUCUCCGUUCCCAGGGCAGGGACUGCUGCCGUUUUUUAUUUGCUGUGUGGGGAUCUGCAAUAGCAUUUAUUAGGUGAGAAGAAUGUCUCUGUUAUCAACCCCCCACCCCCAGAUAAGUCUGGGAACUUUACAAAUAAGGCUGCUUAUGAUUUACUGGGCUUUCAGCAACGGCCACACGGAUGUCACAGCCUUAAGUGCUUUUUCCUGGACCAGCACAGUAAUUCUUACUGCUCCUUCAUCUAAAUCCCCUCUAACCCUUUAGAUGGCUUGUGAGAUACUGACUCAUGGGCAGUUUCUUAUCUGAAAUAUCAGAAAAACUGCCACAUAUCUUCAUAUUUUCAAACUCCAUUGGUGUCAAGAAAUUUCUAAGCCAAGAGCAACGUUUUAUGUGCUAUAAAUCAGGGACCAUAAACUGAUGAGGGACUGUCAAAUGCAAUUCCUAACAACUGUACCAGCAGCACCACUAAAGUAAACUGAGAAGGAAAAGCCAAACAAGAGGGUUUUGUAUCAAACCAGCAAAACAUAUUCAGGCCUGUGAGUAAGGCAACAGCUGCAACUCCUCUGGGGAGAUCCACACGAGCAGAAUGAAAUGAUGCAGCUUAAUUUUCAAAGUGAAAUCAAUAGAGCUGUUGCAGCAGGAAGUUUUUAUUUUAAUGCAGAAAAUAAGAGAUAUAUGGCAGUGCAAGGAGCAGAGAAAAUACAGCAGGGAUGUUUCAUGAGCUACAGGUACUUUAUUAUGCAGUGAUAUUUAUUCUUUUAAGUAUGGAAGUCUAAGACUCUACAAUCCCAUAAAUGAGUAAAUUCUUUUAUUAACCACAUUUGGGGAAGUACCGCACUACCAUAGUUUACAAACCCUUUAAUUAAAAUUUCUAGGAGUUACUGGAAUUGCCAUUCAGGGAGCACUACGUUUAUCCUGAAUCAAUCUCAACCUAUUUAACCAGCUAUCUCCAAACCUCAGGGGGUUUUUUAGAGGUCACGUAGCUGCCUGGUCUCUUCUGGAGCUGCUUCUUCCACCUUUUAGAGCCCUCAUUCCCCGGGCCAUAUGGCUGGGCUGGUUUCUUAACUCUUGCUCACCUCCCUCAGUAAUGAUUUGGUUAAAAACCUGAAAUUUGUCACUCAACAGAUGGUCCUUUUUGCUGCACACCACAGGUCCUCCUCUCCCGUGCAUCCCCUGGGGGUUAUGCCAGUGAGUCCCCGUUAUUUAAAUGAAUCCCAUCUGCACCCAGCUUGCAUGAUAGCACUUAGACAGGGAGAGUGAAGGUGUGGAUUUCCAGCUGGGGAGUCCCCAGAGAAGGUUGGCCUCCUGUUUAUCAUUUCCCUGCUCCAUCCCCAGCCAUAUGACCCCUUUGUUUUGCCCUGCACAAGCACUGGUGCUGUUCUGACCUCACAAGCUGGUCCAGGGAGCAAAUCCCUUUGGGGGAGGGAAUAAAUAUUCCCGCUGCCUUAGGCCCUUUCAGCAGCAGACACACUACAUCUGCUCAGGGAAAUUGUGAAAGACGACUUGGAGUGUGCAACUUCAGAGAAAGAAGUUUUGUUUUGAAGGAGCCAUGUGUGCAAUCUGCUCUCCCUUGGCUGGAGAGCUGCCAAGAGAGCUCCGGCAUCAAGGACAAACGUCAGCGCUGUCCCUCAAAGGCACAGCACACAACUGGCGCGGCUGCGGGAGAGCUCCAGCUCCCUACACCACCCAAACCUGGGGCUGCUUGAGCCCCCAGGGCCUUAAGGAUUACACAGGACAACUCUGCGGUUCUGUGACAGCGACAGAAACUUCUCUGGGCUGCCAAUUAUCUCCAGUGUGCCCCUGCUGCGACACACUCCGCAACAGCAGAGACCUCCCCUACGGCUUACAUCUGCACCUGAGCUGGAAUAGUUUUCCUAUGGAAACUUUAUGUUCUGGUCCUUUCGCCUUGGCUAAAAAACUGGAGCAGAAGUUUAAGUAUGACACUUUUUCAGCUUGGCUGCUUUCCCCCUGCAUUAAUUACCAGCAAACUCGCCGACUUUGCCGCUCUCCGUCUCCUAGCAAAGACAUUUUUGCCCCGCUGCCUCCCUGCGAGCCCCACAAGCAGAAACCCGCCGGGUUUGGUGGCUCCUGCCCAGGCACCAGCUGUGAAGAGUUAAACCCUGGCGCCGGCAGCCUUCACCUGCGCUGCCCGGGUCGCUGAUAAGGGACAUUGGCCGCGGUCACGGCCGAGCCUCCGCUGGGAGAACGGGAGCUCCGGGGAUCCGCCACCCCCGACAUGAGCCCGGCGGGACCCUCAGGGAGCCCCGCAUCCCCUCAGCCCGGUGGGACCCUCAGGG